UACGGGGGGAGCAAGCGUUGUUCGGAUUUACUGGGCGGAAAGGGCGCGUAGGCGGCCUCCGCAAGUCGACUGUGAAAUCUCCGGGCUUAACUCGGAAAGGUCAGCCGAUACUGCGGGGCUAGAGUGCAGAAGGGGCAACCGGAAUUCUCGGUGUAGCAGUGAAAUGCGUAGAUAUCGAGAGGAACACCAGUGGCGAAGGCGAGUCCCUGGACAACACCUGACACUGAGGCACGAAAGCUAGGGGAGCAAACAGG
rnacentral:rRNA from 1 species